rnacentral:rRNA from 1 species
UACGUAGGGUGCAAGCGUUAAUCGGAAUUACUGGGCGUAAAGCGUGCGCAGGCGGUUUUGUAAGUCAGAUGUGAAAUCCCCCGGGCUUAACCUGGGAACUGCGUUUGAAACUACAAGGCUAGAGUGUAGCAGAGGGGGUGGAAUUCCACGUGUAGCAGUGGAAAUGCGUAGAGAUGUGGAGGAACACCGAUGGCGAAGGCAGCCCCCUGGGUUAACACUGACGCUCAGGCACGAAAGCGUGGGGAGCAAACAGG